rnacentral:rRNA from 1 species
UACGUAGGUGGCAAGCGUUGUCCGGAUUUAUUGGGUUUAAAGGGUGCGUAGGCGGUCUUUUAGGUCAGUGCUGAAAUACUCCAGCUUAACUGGAGGGGUGGCAUUGAUACUGGAAGACUUGAGUAUAGUUGAGGUAGGCGGAAUUGACGGUGUAGCGGUGAAAUGCUUAGAUAUCGUCAAGAACACCGAUAGUGAAGACAGCUUACUAAACUAUAACUGACGCUGAGGCACGAAAGUGUGGGGAUCAAACAGG